UACGUAGGGGGCAAGCGUUGUCCGGAUUUAUUGGGCGUAAAGAGCGUGUAGGCGGCCUUGCAAGUCCGUUGUGAAAACUCGAGGCUCAACCUCGAGACGCCGGUGGAAACUGCAAAGCUAGAGUCCGGAAGAGGAGAGUGGAAUUCCUGAUGUAGCGGUGAAAUGCGCAGAUAUCAGGAGGAACACCCGUGGCGAAAGCGGCUCUCUGGGACGGUACUGACGCUGAGACGCGAAAGCGUGGGGAGCAAACAGG
rnacentral:rRNA from 1 species